rfam:Ipomoea nil DNA, scaffold: scaffold3056, cultivar: Tokyo-kokei standard.
CCGACUUUAGCUCAGUUGGUAGAGCGGAGGAUUGUAGUUUGAUUAAUCUAAAUUGGAAAUCCUUAGGUCGCUGGUUCAAAUCCGGCAGGUCGGA